CCUACGGGUGGCAGCAGUGAGGAAUAUUGGACAAUGGGCUUACGCCUGAACCAGCCAAGUCGCGUGAGGGAAGAAGGCCCUAUGGGUUGUAAACCUCUUUUGUCAGGGAGCAAUUGGUGCUACGAGUACCGUUAUCGAUUGACCCUAAAGAAAAAACAUCGUCUAACUCCGUGCCAGCAGCCGGGGUAAUAAGGAGGAUGCGAGCGUUAUCCGGAUUGAUUUGGUUAAAGGGAUGCGUAGGCGGCAUGCCAAUUCAGCGGGAAAAUCCCGGGGCUAAACCUCGCUCCGCGGUUGACACUGGCGUUCUUGAGUGGGCGAGAAGUAUGCAGAAUGCGUGGUGUAGCGGUGAAAUGCAUAGAUAUCACGCAGAACUCCGAUGGCGAAGGCAGCAUACCGGCGCCAAACUGACGCUGAAGCACGAAAGCGUGGGUAUCGAACAGGAUUAGAUACCCGAGUAGUC
rnacentral:rRNA from 1 species